UACGGAGGGUGCGAGCGUUGUCCGGAAUCAUUGGGCGUAAAGGGCGCGUAGGCGGCUUUGCAAGUCGGGUGUGAAAUCCCCAGGCUUAACCUGGGAACUGCAUUCGAGACUGCAUUGCUAGAGUAUGGGAGAGGGAAGUGGAAUUUCCGGUGUAGCGGUGAAAUGCGUAGAUAUCGGAAGGAACAUCAGUGGCGAAAGCGACUUCCUGGACCAAUACUGACGCUCAUGUGCGAAAGCGUGGGGAGCAAACAGG
rnacentral:rRNA from 1 species